GAUAAACGCUGGCGGCGUGCCUAAUACAUGCAAGUCGAGCGAACGGACGAGAAGCUUGCUUCUCUGAUGUUAGCGGCGGACGGGUGAGCAACACGUGGAUAACCUACCUAUAAGACUGGGAUAACUUCGGGAAACCGGAGCUAAUACCGGAUAAUAUUUUGAACCGCAUGGUUCAAAAGUGAAAGACGGUCUUGCUGUCACUUAUAGAUGGAUCCGCGCUGCAUUAGCUAGUUGGUAAGGUAACGGCUUACCAAGGCAACGAUGCAUAGCCGACCUGAGAGGGUGAUCGGCCACACUGGAACUGAGACACGGUCCAGACUCCUACGGGAGGCAGCAGUAGGGAAUCUUCCGCAAUGGGCGAAAGCCUGACGGAGCAACGCCGCGUGAGUGAUGAAGGUCUUCGGAUCGUAAAACUCUGUUAUUAGGGAAGAACAUAUGUGUAAGUAACUGUGCACAUCUUGAUGGUACCUAAUCAGAAAGCCACGGCUAACUACGUGCCAGCAGCCGCGGUAAUACGUAGGUGGCAAGCGUUAUCCGGAAUUAUUGGGCGUAAAGCGCGCGUAGGCGGUUUUUUAAGUCUGAUGUGAAAGCCCACGGCUCAACCGUGGAGGGUCAUUGGAAACUGGAAAACUUGAGUGCAGAAGAGGAAAGUGGAAUUCCAUGUGUAGCGGUGAAAUGCGCAGAGAUAUGGAGGAACACCAGUGGCGAAGGCGACUUUCUGGUCUGUAACUGACGCUGAUGUGCGAAAGCGUGGGGAUCAAACAGGAUUAGAUACCCUGGUAGUCCACGCCGUAAACGAUGAGUGCUAAGUGUUAGGGGGUUUCCGCCCCUUAGUGCUGCAGCUAACGCAUUAAGCACUCCGCCUGGGGAGUACGACCGCAAGGUUGAAACUCAAAGGAAUUGACGGGGACCCGCACAAGCGGUGGAGCAUGUGGUUUAAUUCGAAGCAACGCGAAGAACCUUACCAAAUCUUGACAUCCUUUGACAACUCUAGAGAUAGAGCCUUCCCCUUCGGGGGACAAGGUGACAGGUGGUGCAUGGUUGUCGUCAGCUCGUGUCGUGAGAUGUUGGGUUAAGUCCCGCAACGAGCGCAACCCUUAAGCUUAGUUGCCAUCAUUAAGUUGGGCACUCUAAGUUGACUGCCGGUGACAAACCGGAGGAAGGUGGGGAUGACGUCAAAUCAUCAUGCCCCUUAUGAUUUGGGCUACACACGUGCUACAAUGGACAAUACAAAGGGCAGCGAAACCGCGAGGUCAAGCAAAUCCCAUAAAGUUGUUCUCAGUUCGGAUUGUAGUCUGCAACUCGACUACAUGAAGCUGGAAUCGCUAGUAAUCGUAGAUCAGCAUGCUACGGUGAAUACGUUCCCGGGUCU
rnacentral:rRNA from 1 species